GGUGGCUAAUACCGGAUAUGAAACGCUACCGCAUGGUGGGGUUUGGAAAGAUUUUUUGGUCAGGGAUGGACUCGCGGCCUAUCAGCUUGUUGGUGGGGUAAUGGCCUACCAAGGCGACGACGGGUAGCCGGCCUGAGAGGGCGACCGGCCACACUGGGACUGAGACACGGCCCAGACUCCUACGGGAGGCAGCAGUGGGGAAUAUUGCACAAUGGGCGAAAGCCUGAUGCAGCGACGCCGCGUGAGGGAUGAAGGCCUUCGGGUUGUAAACCUCUUUCAGCAGGGAAGAAGCGCAAGUGACGGUACCUGCAGAAGAAGCGCCGGCUAACUACGUGCCAGCAGCCGCGGUAAUACGUAGGGCGCAAGCGUUGUCCGGAAUUAUUGGGCGUAAAGAGCUCGUAGGCGGUUUGUCGCGUCUGCUGUGAAAACCUCAGGCUCAACCUGGGGCUUGCAGUGGGUACGGGCAGACUAGAGUGCGGUAGGGGAGACUGGAAUUCCUGGUGUAGCGGUGGAAUGCGCAGAUAUCAGGAGGAACACCGAUGGC
rnacentral:rRNA from 1 species